rnacentral:ncRNA from 1 species
AAUUUUGGGGUUAAAACUCUGUUUUAAGGGAUUAGGAAUCUGUCCUUCAUUGGGUGAAAAUACAGAGAAAAUUUUCGAGUGACAUCUUUUUGGGGAAAUUGAAUGGUUUAUUUUCUUAAACUGAGUAAAGUUAGCAGGGCAAGAUCAUUCGCUUUUGUUUUAAUAAAAUAGACAGGUUUGGGACAUUUCCUUUUGUAAUUAAAGCGGGAGCCCUUUUGUUUAAAUGCUUUUAACCUUGAGGACUCCCUUACAUGUCUGUUCUUUAACCUAGGGUGGGGAAGUUAAUAACAGGUAUCGUGAAAGCCCUUUGAUAUCUUUGGUCUAGCAAGAGCAAUACAUUGUUUUAUCAUUAGACAAUGUGUUUUCGGAAAAAGUAGGAUCUAAUGUUUGUAAAUACGUAGUGAAUAAGGAAUUCCUAGUAACGGUGCCUCAUCAAGGCAUGGUGAAUGUGUCCCUGUUCUUUGUACACACCGCCCGUCACUAUUUCAGAUGGUCAUAGGGAUGAAGAGCUUCGGCUCUGAAUAUCUAUGGCUAGAUAAAGUACAAGUCGUAACAAGGUUUCAGUUGGAGAACCAGCUGAAGGAUCAUUU